rnacentral:rRNA from 1 species
UACGUAGGGGGCGAGCGUUGCUCGGAAUCAUUGGGCGUAAAGCGCACGUAGGCGGUUCGUUAUGUCGGAUGUGAAAGCCCUUGGCUUAACCGAGGAAGUGCAUCCGAAACUGGCGAGCUAGAGUACGAAAGAGGAUCGCGGAAUUCCCGGUGUAGAGGUGAAAUUCGUAGAUAUCGGGAGGAACACCGGUGGCGAAGGCGGCGAUCUGGGUCGAUACUGACGCUGAGGUGCGAAAGCGUGGGGAGCAAACAGG